rnacentral:rRNA from 2 species
UCGAGAAUAAUUCACAAUGGGGGCAACCCUGAUGGUGCAACGCCGCGUGGAGGAUGACGGUCUUCGGAUUGUAAACUCCUGUCAUCUGGGAGUAAGACCUGGCGAUGAAUAGUCGACAGGGUUGAUAGUACCAGAAGAGGAAGGGACGGCUAACUUCGUGCCAGCAGCCGCGGUAAUACGAAGGUCCCAAGCGUUGUUCGGAAUCACUGGGCGUAAAGGGAGCGUAGGCGGCGUGGUAAGUCAGAUGUGAAAUCCCGGGGCUCAACCCCGGAACUGCAUCCGAUACUGCCAUGCUAGAGGAUUGGAGAGGUAGCUGGAAUUCUUGGUGUAGCAGUGAAAUGCGUAGAGAUCAAGAGGAACACUCGUGGCGAAAGCGAGCUACUGGACAAUUCCUGACGCUGAGGCUCGAAGGCUAGGGUAGCGAAAG